rnacentral:misc_RNA from 1 species
CGUCAGGUCACUGCAGAAUAAAACCACACUGCAGAGAAAUCUCUAAUACCACAUCUAUCCCUAUUGCCAGAGUACCAUGGAUGACCCGUCACCCCAUUCAGGAGUUAAAAUAAGCAUGUACGAGAAGGAGUCGAUUUCCAUGAUAGCGAAGUGGAGCAUCGAGGCGAAUUCCUCAGCAGAGCGGGAUUAUGAUGACCCCUUCUAUAUAUGUGAUCUCGGCGACGUCAUUGCUAAAGACAGAAAAUGGCAGGAAUUACUACCGACAGUGGAAACUUUUUAUGCUGUCAAGUGUAAUCCCGACUUAGCUAUUCUGAGACUACUGGUGGGACUAGGAAGGGGAUUUGACUGCUCGAGUAAGAGAGAGAUUCAGAUGGUGCUGGAUGCAGGAGCAAGCCCCGACCGCAUCAUCUACGCCAACACGUGCAAACAGGAGUCGCACCUCCGCUACGCCAAGGAGAAGGGAGUCAGCCUCAUGACUUUUGACUCGGCUGAUGAACUGCAGAAGAUCGACCGCGUCUACCCAGAGGCAACGCUAGUGCUACGGAUGAGGUAUGACGACCCUAACGCUGUCUAUAAGCUGGGAUCGAAGUUUGGCUGCUCACAGGACAGCAUUCCACGACUGAUGGAGCUGGCGAAGACGUUGGGACUGAAUGUGGUUGGUAUAAGUUUCCAUAUUGGCGCCGGUGCUCGGGACCCGAACAUGUUUGCUGGGGCCAUCUCUUGUGCCAAGACACUGUUUGGCGUCGGGAAAGCCGUUGGUUAUGACAUGACGCUACUGGACAUCGGGGGCGGUUUUCCGGGCAAAACGAGCUUUAGAAUUGGAUUUCAGCAGUUUGCAGAAGCUAUCAGCGAGUCACUCGAGGAGCAUUUCCCAGCAGACUGCGGCGUGAGGGUGAUCGCUGAGCCCGGGACCUUCUACGUCCAAUCAGCGGUGCAUCUUGUGGCUAACGUCAUAGCCACACGUAAAGUUGGGGCCAGCAGUGAUAUACUUCAGGAAAAUAGCAAACUAAAGAAACACUACUUUGUGAAUACUGGACUAUAUAACUCUUUCAAUGCGCUGUACACUGUUCCGGACUAUUUUGCACCACCGUGUCCCUUAAGGGAACUGGAAGAAGACGAGCCGUUUUACCCGUCAUGCAUCUGGGGCCCGACCUGUGACGCCACCGACUGUAUUUUCCCUGACUGCAGACUCCCGGAGUUACGAGCUGGUGACUUUGUCAUUUUCCGCGGUGGAUAUGGGAGCGUACGCGUCGUCUGCAAGCUGUGAUUUCAACGGGUUCGGUACCCCGACGUCCCGCUACACCGCAACGAGAAAAUACUUACCACUUCUUCGCGAGGUUUUUCAAGGGUGCGCCACAGAAAAUGUUGACAUUGACCCGCAAACCAAGACCAGCGAGUGAUUCCACA